rnacentral:lncRNA from 1 species
GACACUUCCCACGGCUUCAUAAACGGCCCACAAUAUUACAACCAACCGCAGAUUAACGCGGUCCAUCGUGAAUUUAUACAAGAUAUCUCAAAAUUGGACCUUUCUUCUUGGGAUAACACACCCCGACCUAUACCGGAGCUUCAAGAUAAGCCACAGGGGUGGACCAAGUGGAACCCGUAACCAUACAAGGAAAACAUGAACUAUAAGCGUCUUUUAAUUAAGUCCAAAAACCGUGCGAAAAUUAGCUUCUCUCUUUGUGAUUUUUGACUACCAACUUUUUGCAGUAGAUACUAGAUCUAGUUUUUUUCUUUUAAUUUUUUUGUUAUUGAUAUAAUCUGAUCGUACUUUGGCCCAUUAUACAGGUCAAAAACAUUCUGGCAAAUGUUUGUAAUAAAAGAGUCUUCACGUAUGUCGUUUUAACGCAUUCGCUGUAUAUAAAAUGAUUAUUGAGAAGACCCAUUACUUGUAGUUACUUGCAUAUGAUUUUUCUUUUAUAACCGCUUAUAGUUUGGAUACAUUUUAUCGAAUUUGUAGCAAGAGGAGUUUUUCAAAUUGAGGAAAAAGCUGAGAGCGGGACGGGGGGUGGCAAUCUCCCGUCCCCUCUAGCUGGGAAAAACAUAGACAUUAAUUAUAAAAAUUAUACUAAAUAAUAUGUAAAAUGUAGUAGUUGCGCAAAUUAAACAAAAAAGGUUAUGAGGGAUUGGCGAUUAAGGGACAAGUAUAUACUUGUGAUUCAUUGUUCUCUUAUCGAAUAUAUAUUUUCUUUCCUAUGUGGUUUAAGUCCGUAAGGUGUUUGUUUGCCAUUCUAUGAAAUGUUGCGCCUGGCACAACAAGCACGUACGCGUUGGGAUGGGGAUACGCUCUGUUCCCGUUCAAUUCCCGUAGGACUAAUAAUUAUACGGAAACUUAUGUAAUAUUUGCUUGUACAUGAAGACUUAAAUAUAUCUUUAUGCACUGUAA